UCUCCUAUAGCUCAGUUGGUAGAGCGUGCGGCUGUUAACCUCAAGGUCGCUGGUUCCAAGCAGCUGGGAGAA
rnacentral:tRNA from 1 species